AUGUACCACUCGUACACUCCAGCUCCACUGCGACUUCCGCACCCACCUGGCGACAACUCGCUGCGUUUUGUUAUCC
rnacentral:sRNA from 1 species